UUGAUCCUGCCAGAGGUCACUGCUAUCGGUGUUCGACUAAGCCAUGCGAGUCAAAUGUUCUUCGUGAACAUGGCGUACUGCUCAGUAACACGUGGAUAACCUGCCCUUAGGACUGGCAUAACCCCGGGAAACUGGGGAUAAUUCCGGAUAGUUCAUGGUAGCUGGAAUGCUCCAUGAUCGAAAGCUAUUGCGCCUAAGGAUGGGUCUGCGGUCUAUCAGGUAGUAGUGGGUGUAAUGUACCUACUAGCCGACGACGGAUACGGGUUGUGGGAGCAAGAGCCCGGAGAUGGAUUCUGAGACAUGAAUCCAGGCCCUACGGGGCGCAGCAGGCGCGAAAACUUUACAAUGCGGGAAACCGCGAUAAGGGGACACCGAGUGCCAGCAUCUUAUGUUGGCUGUCCGCAUGUAUAAAUCACAUGUGUUAGCAAGGGCCGGGCAAGACCGGUGCCAGCCGCCGCGGUAACACCGGCGGCCCGAGUGGUGGCCACUAUUAUUGGGUCUAAAGGGUCCGUAGCCGGUUUGGUCAGUCUUCCGGGAAAUCUGACGGCUUAACCGUUAGGCUUUCGGGGGAUACUACCAGGCUUGGGACCGGGAGAGGUAAGAGGUACUACGGGGGUAGGAGUGAAAUCUUGUAAUCCUCGUGGGACCACCAGUGGCGAAGGCGUCUUACCAGAACGGGUCCGACGGUGAGGGACGAAAGCUGGGGGCACGAACCGGAUUAGAUACCCGGGUAGUCCCAGCCGUAAACUAUGCUCGCUAGGUGUCAGGGACGGUGCGACCGUUUCUGGUGCCGCAGGGAAGCCGUGAAGCGAGCCACCUGGGAAGUACGGUCGCAAGGCUGAAACUUAAAGGAAUUGGCGGGGGAGCACUACAACGGGUGGAGCCUGCGGUUUAAUUGGACUCAACGCCGGAAAACUCACCGGGGGCGACAGCAAUAUGUAGGUCAAGCUAAAGACUUUACCAGAAUCGCUGAGAGGUGGUGCAUGGC
rnacentral:rRNA from 1 species